rnacentral:misc_RNA from 1 species
GUGGAUACAGAAACUUCAAAGCAAGAAGUCACUUUUAUUUAAAUCUGUAAACAGAACCCAAAAGUGCCUCUGUCUCUUGCUCUCGCUGUCUCGCACAAUCGGUCAUCUCUCUCUUUAUGACGCGUUUCAAUGGCGGCUGUUGUAGCUGAAACUUGUUCACAUAUAUCUAAUCUGAUCUCUAAAUUUCAUUUCUUUUCACUCUAUCCUCUGAACAAACACAAGCCCAUGUUCUCUCAUGUCUUAUUCUUCUUCCUCUUCUUCUUUGUCUUCUCUGUAUCCUGCUUUAUCUCUCUCUUUUUCCUUUAUAAGAAUUUCAGCAGGCCAAAGCGAGAGGAACAGAACCAGAACGGUGAAACUUCAGUUAUAAACUGUUCUUUGUCCAAAAUAAUCGAUGAAACUCACAAAACCCGUGAAAAUGACUCGAUCCAUUUGACUCAUUCGCUUCUUCUGGACAUCUUACCGUCCGAUUCUCCUAAAUGGGCCACUCUGUUUGGCAAUCAGCCUGAUGAAACGAGUUCGGGUCAUGACAAUGAUAGAGACGGGUCUGUAGGGGAUUCCCAGAAAGUGAAAAAGAAGAAGAAGAGGACGAAGAAGAAGAGAUUGGAUUCCAAGAGUGGAGAAAAUGGGGUUGAAGAUAAGGGCUUAGAGAGACAAAGAGAAGGUUUGGAUUCGGGGUUGCGGCAGGUCAAGCCGGAGUUAGUUUGCUUGUACCCUUUUACCUCAACGAGUAGUGCCACGCAAAGGAAGAUCAAGCAGCAGUAUGAUCAGCUUGUUAAGUGCAAUGAAAGCAAGGGAUUGACAUUGGCACAGGUUUUUCCUUUACACUUUUUUUGAAAAAAAUUCAAUUUAAUUGUGUUUGAGUUAAUUGAUAGUUGGUACCUUGGGAUGAUUUUGCUGUGGACUGGCUCGCCUGGCCUGCUGAAGAAGCUAACUUUGAAAAUUAUUGUUAUCAGGAGAACAUUUGGAGAGAAUUUUAUUUCUUCUCUUUUCAAUCUGUGAUUUUUUUACUAUUCAUUUUGGGUGCCUGGCUCUUCUUCGGGAAGUCUUUGUUUGUGUCUCUUUUCCAUUUGGUUAGUAAAAUUUUUUAUGUGAUCAAAUUAUUGAGCAAAAAAAUAAAUGAUAGAUUGUGAAGGGGAGCAGACGACAAAAGAAGAAUGUGCAUAAUAACUUUGAAUGCUUUGACCUCAUCAUGCGGUUUAGGAAAUGGCCGUUUCAUGAAAUGGUUGAGAUGAUCAAACAAUAGAAAAUGCUAAAACUGAAUUUUCAAUUGCAUGUUGUAUUGCGUGAUAAUAAAAGUCUCCGAUUAACAAUCACUAAGCAUGGAGGUCCAAGUUACAAGCAGCUCAUUUUUGUAAAUCUGCAGCUCAAUAGGAUUGUAUGGAUCAUGGGGGAUUAACAAAGGAAAUUUUAAAUGUCAUUGCUGUUAACCUUAGGUUUAAUGGGACUCCCAGUUACUUCACACAAUUAUACACUAGGAUGCUCCUGACUGGCAAUUGGAUUUUAAACCAGUUAUGGUUUAUGCUCUAUUUUCUUUUGGUAACACAAGUAUUAUUAACAUUGGAGGAAGGGGUAUUUUCUCGAUGGUUAUCUUUUACCUUUGUGAUGGUGAAUAUUGCCCCAUUGAAAUAUGUCUGUCUGGAGCAAGCUCUUCAAAGUCCUUGGCAAAUAUUGUUUUUCUUUCUAGAAAAGUUGGCUACUUAGUCUGGACAACAUCCCUAUUAUUUGAACGGUCAGUAUUAUGCCUGGAAGGAAGGCCAGAAAAGUAACUGCUCUAUCCCUGGUAUCAGUUUUAAUGCUUGGAGAUGGAGGAGGACAGCGACCUUUGAUGCAGGGUAGUGUUAAUUUGUUGGUCUUCACCUCCAGUUGGAAUUAAUCUAACUCUGAUGGUGCAGUUAAGGGUAAUUCAGGCGAGGGUGUGCAGUGUUCUGGCAGUGGGGGGUCAUGAUGGUUUUGAUGUCCAGAUUACUGAUUUUACAUUUAAUCUUGGUAUAUUUUCUUCAAUGGUAGUGGAAUUGCGGGCACUGUGUAUGGGUCUUGGUUUUGCUUGGAAACAAGGUUUUCAUCAAGUGAUGGUAGAGGUGUUUUCACAGUUGGUGAUCCAAUAUCUCAAUGAGAAUGUUUCUAAUGCUCAUCCUUUGCAGUUUCUUAUUUGAAAAUGCCAUAACUUCUUCAAUUGUGACUAGCUUGUUGAGAUUUCUCACACAUAUGGAAAAGAGAAAAUGGUGGUUGAUUGGCUUGCCAAUCAUGUGCUUCCUUUGGAUUUGGCUAUCAUGAGAUCUCUUCAUUUUCUUCAGGGUUCACUUUAUUGCUCCUCCAGUACCUGUGGCGUGUGUUUCCCCAGAACUGCAGUCUGUUAGUUUCUUUUCUGAGUCCUGGAUUCUUUGCUUCGCCCUCACAAGAAAAAAUAGAACAAAAUAAAAUUCUAGCUUUCUUUGUUAGAUGGCAUUGUUCAAUGAACACUAUCAGGUUUUUGACCUUAAGUGUAGGUGAGCUUUUUAUAAUCAGGCUUCCUAUUAAAGCCAAAUCUGACUAGUGCAAUGAAAAUCCUCAAGAAAAACAUGGAAUUAGGAAGGUGAUGGGUUUUAACUUUUAGGUAGAGGCUUAAACCUUUGUUUAAUUGUAUAUUACUGAAGGUGUGGUUCAAUUGAUAGAUCAAAUUCAUGAUUAUUUAAUUUAGAGUUUAUGCUUCAUGUUAUGAAAGUAAUUGCAUAUUUCAAUCUUGAAAACAUGCAUUUUGGAAUAUUUAAUGGUUAAAUAAGUAAAAACUUCAAUGCUGAAUCACCUGCAGCUAAUAUUUCUCUGUUUUUCUCUUGUGAUGCAGGUUGCAGAAUUUGCUAAUUGCUUGAUUGAAGCUAAAAAUGAGUUGCAACACAAGUCUGAGGUCAUCCAACGCAAGUUCACAAUAACAAGGGCUCUUCUAUUCAAGGCAGACAGGUCUUCAAUUGAUCGCCUUCGUCAACAGAUUUACAAGCUGGAGCUUGAACAAAAGAGAUUAGAAGAGGACACAUUUGUUUAUAAUUGGCUCCAACAACAACUUAAACUCUCACCAGCAUACGAAAAGGUAAAAUUCAACUGUAAUUAUGGAAUUUCUGGGUUUGGCUGACGAUGCAGAUUAUGCAAAUAAAUAAUUUUGCCUCUUCCACUUUUCUCUGCAAUUCGUGAAAAUGUUUUCAUGCCAAACAAAAUGUGACGUUGUGAAACGGACAAGUUCUGCCAUAUUUUUCCCUCUUUAUCUAGGGUCAUUGGACAUUUAUGAAGUCUAAAACACACAUUGUCUUUUUAGUGAAUUAACAACUAUUCUCUAGAUUGAUGUGAUGCACUUCUAUUUCUGAUGGAUUGACAAUUUGCAAAGCUUCGAGGAUUUGCCACAAGGUAUAGAAUCUUACAUGUAGGCAAUGACUCAGCAUUCUGCAUCUUUUUCUGUGUAUAUUAGAGAAAAUAGAAGAGAGAGAUACCUAAUGUUUUAAAAUUGAGUUCUAAUUUCCCUCUUAUUCUGCUAGGUGCUUAUAUUGCCUUUCCACUCAUAUGUUGCUGUUUAUAUGUGGAGAAGUUUUGUCCUUUUACUGCUAAGUCCCUUGUAUUGCUAUCCUCUCACCAAAAAAUAAAACAAAAUCCUUCUCUUCUUGUGUAAUUCAAAUCAAUGGACUUCUUUUUUUUUUUUAACUAAAUAGAUUAUUUGAUCAGAUGUUCUAGUAUUUUGAUCUUCUUUAUUAUAGAUGCUUGAAAUCAGUACCAGCAUGGAGUUGAAGGCCAAGUCUGGUGAGCUGAUUGAGAACAAAGAUACUGAAGUUGGUGAUAUUUCCUUUGAAGAGCUAUUAGCACAAGAAAAGAAGGAUGCAUUUUGGUUGGUUUGCUAGUCUUAUCAAAUGUUCAUUUCUUAUUCAAUAUUUGUUUCGGCACCGCCUAUAACUAAAUUUGUCUAUAAUCAUGUACAGGCAGAAAAAUGGGAAAUCAAGAUUAUACUCAAGCCAAUGAUAACGUCUGUUUGAUAAACUGUACUGAAGGAUGGACCUUUUUGUAGUAUGUAUUUGUGAUACCCAACAGUCGCAGGAAUUUUUUUCACUGCCUGUGCUUCUUUGGGUCUCCUUUGAAGAGAAUUGAGGCCAUGAUGCAUUGAAUCGUGAUCUCAUCUCUUCUCCCUAGUUAGUCCUUAAUAUGAUGGUCUGGAUUAAUUUAGCAAUUUUGCGUUUUGCUGAACUACUAACGUUCCAUUAUGAAUCUUGGAUAGUUCCCUUAUUUUUUUAAUAUAUACUCUUGAAUAGUUUGCUCUCGAAUCUCUCAUGGUUGUUUAUUACUAGUUACUAAACAAUUGAAUUAGGGGCUAGAGGUGUUGGUUUGGGAGAGUUUUAUAGGUGUGAACUGAUUUUCCUUGGAUUCUCU